AGUAAAUAGAUACCCGGGUAGUCCCAGCUGUAAACGAUGCAGACUAGGUGUUUGGACGGCCACGUGCCGUUCUAGUGCCGCAGGGAAGCUGUUAAGUCUGCCGCCUGGGGAGUACGAUCGCAAGAUUGAAACUUAAAGGAAUUGGCGGGGGAGCACCACAAGGGGUGAAGCUUGCGGUUUAAUUGGAGUCAACGCCGGAAAUCUCACCGAGAGCGACAGCAGUAUGAAAGCCAGAUUGAAGGUCUUGCUAGACGAGCUGAGAGGAGGUGCAUGGCCGUCGCCAGUUCGUGCCGUGAGGUGUCCUGUUAAGUCAGGCAACGAUCGAGACCCGCGUCCUCCGUUGCAACCAGCUUUGUGCUGGGCACACUGAGGAGACCGCCACUGAUAAAGUGGAGGAAGGAGCGGGCCACGGCAGGUCAGUAUGCCCC
rnacentral:rRNA from 1 species